rnacentral:rRNA from 1 species
GACGAACGCUGGCGGCGUGCUUAACACAUGCAAGUCGAACGGAAAGGCCCUGCUUUUGUGGGGUGCUCGAGUGGCGAACGGGUGAGUAACACGUGAGUAACCUGCCCUUGACUUUGGGAUAACUUCAGGAAACUGGGGCUAAUACCGGAUAGGAGCUCCUGCUGCAUGGUGGGGGUUGGAAAGUUUCGGCGGUUGGGGAUGGACUCGCGGCUUAUCAGCUUGUUGGUGGGGUAGUGGCUUACCAAGGCUUUGACGGGUAGCCGGCCUGAGAGGGUGACCGGCCACAUGGGGACUGAGAUACGGCGCAGACUCCUACGGGAGGCAGCAGGGGGGAAUAUGGCACAAUGGGCGGAAGCCUGAUGCAGCAACGCCGCGGGCGGGAUGACGGCCUUCUGGUUGUAAACCGCUUUCGCCUGUGACGAAGCGGGAGUGACGGUAAUGGGUAAAGAAGCACCGGCUAACUACGUG